UGGGGAAUUUUGGACAAUGGGCGAAAGCCUGAUCCAGCAAUGCCGCGUGUGUGAAGAAGGCCUUCGGGUUGUAAAGCACUUUUGUCCGGAAAGAAAUGGCUCUGGUUAAUACCUGGGGUCGAUGACGGUACCGGAAGAAUAAGGACCGGCUAACUACGUGCCAGCAGACGCGGUAAUACGCAGGGUCCAAGCGUUAAUCGGAAUUACUGGGCGUAAUGCGUGCGCAGGCGGUUGUGCAAGACCGAUGUGAAAUCCCCGAGCUUAACUUGGGAAUUGCGUUGGUGACUGCACGGCUAGAGUGUGUCAGAGGGGGGUAGAAUUCCACGUGUAGCAGUGAAAUGCGUAGAGAUGUGGAGGAAUACCGAUGGCGAAGGCAGCCCCCUGGGAUAACACUGACGCUCAUGCACGAAAGCGUGGGGAGCAAACAGG
rnacentral:rRNA from 1 species